rnacentral:rRNA from 1 species
UUUGGAUCAGCCGGUACUCCGAAUGCCNUAGAUUUUAGUUUGAUCAUGGCUCAGAUUCGAACGCUGGUCGGCAUGCCUUACACAUGCAAGUCGAACGGCAGCACGGGAGCUUGCUCCUGGUGGCGAGUGGCGAACGGGUGAGUAAUAUAUCGUGGAACAACGGUUAGCGCCUGUUUAACGNACGUGGAGUAGUGAGUUAAGCAGUGCCAUGCUGUGAACAACGGGUUUUUGGGCCUCUGGGGUCCGUUUUAAGAAGUUUUAAAGCCCGCCGGGGGCCCACGACAAGAGUUUAAAGGCCCCCGGGGGAAAAACAGNAGGUGUUNUUUUUUUUUCCCCCUCGGUGGUUUUUUUUUUAAAAGAGUAUUUGCNCCCCACCGAGGNGUGGGNCACCACGAGGGGGGGCGCUCAGANAAAAGACNGANACGCGUUUUUUUUUUCGGGCCGGCGUUCAUAAAACAACAUAGUGUCAAUCAAAUUCGUNCGACAAAACAAACAUACUNGUUGGGCNGGCAUGCCUCUACCACGANGUUCUUUUUUUUUUUUUUGCGCGGCGGGGGCACUAUUCCUGUNAGGCGACCAUUCAGGGUGGCUGCGCGACACCCACGUNNUGGGGCGCACCAUCUCCGCGUGGGGUGCUUCAAUACACAAANCAAGAGUGAGCCACGUUUUUUUUUUUUUUUCCCCCCCCCCAUGAUAAAUGCG